AAUUGGGAAAAAGUGUAACUAUAUAAAGUUUGGGGUUAAAAUAAAGUUUGGGGGCCAAAUGGCUAUUUUUGAAAGUUCCAAACGGUCAAAAUUGCAGCCCAACGGCUACUUUUAAUUUUUGACCGUUGCUAUUUUUUUUUAAAGUAGCCUUUAGGCUCGGUAAGACCGGCCCAGGCCCGCCAGCCGGUCCCGGGCUUAGCGGUCCCGAGCUCGUGGGCUAUUUUAUCAUACCCGGCCUGCCCCGGGCUUUUUGCACCAUUAAGAACCGGCCCACCAGGCCCGUUUAGCCCGUUAGGACCGCGGGCCCGGUCCCAGCCCGGCCCACCAUACAGCACUAGUUGCAACCUAGAGUUGUAGAGGAAUGCCUUUUCUUCCCAAGAAAGAUAGAAUAAGGUUAAUUCGGUCCUUAUAAUAUCCAAUGGUUAACUUGUGUUUAUCUGUAAUUAAUAUAGGGGUAUUAUUUUUCUUGGGCGUUGAAAUUUUGUAUAAUAGAAGGGAUAGUAGAGGGGAAUUUACAGCUGAGACAGAUAUAGACGUGUACAUAUAAGUUGCCCUAUACGACUAUGACUCCUUUGUAUGCUUUUUCUUCACCCUACAUAACAUGAUUUUACAAUUCUUGCUAUCAUUUCUAGCUUUAUUUGCAGCCUUAUCCGUAUCUGCACAUCCGUAACAAGGAGUUUCCAUGGGGUCCGGAUGGUCUUUUCGAGAAGAAGCAUCACUAAAACAUGUAUACUUACCCAUGAAGGCUUAAAAAAAGUUGAACCUACUGCAUCGUCAAAGUUGUAUGAAAUGUGUUUGUAUUUGCUUCAGAUGUCUUGUGUUGAUACUUAACCAUAUCUCUGAUGUACUCUGUGGUUUUCUGUAUUGUGCUGUCUACUAUGUUUCGACAGUGUGCUAUCUACAAAAUAAGAAUGAGGAGAUUGUUUGCA